UGAUGAUUGCUUGCUUGACAUAUAGAAGAACAUGCUCAAACCAUCAACAUCUCAACCUUUUGGAUCUCUCUCUCAAGGUUGCUUCUCUUCCUCUCUCUCUUUCUCUUUCUCGGUUCUGCUUCUUGUGGAGAAAAAUUACCCAAUUCUAAAACCAAAAAAAAAAUCAUUUUAUAUUGUUUGUAAACUUGAGCAGCACCCAUUCACGCAGAGGAUCAGUCCUAUUCGGAUCCAGUUAUUGUUUUUCAAUUAGAACUCUAAGAAUAACUGUCCAUGCUUUGAGAAAACGACGUCCCUUUUAUUUGGCAUUAAAAUAUUCUUCAAACUCCAAUGGGAUCGUAGCAACUCAGCAAACAACUCCUUCUCUACUUCAACUUCUUGACUUUUACCAAAGCUCGGACUGAUCGGAUCCAUGUGCGCAAGGGAGAAAUUGAUUUGAAAACCGAACAUCUGUCCUUGUAUAUAUUCUGUUACGUGUACUAACAACCAUAUAAUGAAUAUUAAAUUAACAAAUACCUUUAACAGAUACCAUGAGACCAUGAGAAGUAAGUAGAAUGAACCAUGAAUUCCAAACAACCACAAACAUAGAAAAACCACAAUUCUAAUAGUAAUAUAAAAUCCCUAAUUUGACAAUAUUUAGUGUUACUAGGCCUACUAAGUUUAUGGAGUGGAGUAACUUCUAUUAAGAGAAAGAGAAGAGAGAAAUGUUCAGACUGAUAUAACAUUCUCAAUGACCAGCAAAGAAUUUUUUUUUUUUUCUGAUAGACCAAGCAACAAAAUUAAAUGGCAACGAGGUAACUUACAAGUGAUAAGCUCUUCUUUUUAAGAAAGGUAACUUCAGAAAUAAGGCAUACGGUUAUAUAGAAGAGCAAGGGAAAUAGCAAAUAUGAAUGAAUCUACCAUUAGUUGAUAAAUCCCACAAGCCUUGUUGUAUUAAUUCAAUAGAAGUAGCAACAGGAGAUAUUUUACCUUUAAAAUUCCCAGUGAAAACAAAAAAUCAAACAGUAAUACUGUCUCAUAGAUCCAAAUUUUAAAUCUGUAUAACCCCACUUUUACUCUUCCAAAUAGGAUAUAUCCUUGACAUAUUUACAAAAUACAUUGCUAUAAAUUAGACAACUCAUUUCUGACCUUCCUUCCCCAAGGUGAUUCUUUGUGUUCAAUAUUCUAGAACCCCACUUUUCCCCUCUUCGUAUUCUUCAUUCCCCUUAUACCUGUAAUUUUUUUAUUGCAUCGAUUCUAUUCAAUUUACAAGGUAUUCUGCAUGAAAAAUCUGUAGAGAAAGCAACCCUUCAUUCUGAAGCUCAAAACUACAGAAAGCACAUGCUCUACCUUGAAUGCACAGAUCGAAAAAAAAUUAUAUUGUUGAUGCACAGGUUCAUCAAUUGUUUUAUCUACCAUAGUUGGGUCUCCAUAGCCAACCCUCACAACCAAGUGCCCAUACAGGGUGGAAAUUAAUAUAGGCUUGAAAGGAAAUCUGAUUAUUGAAACAAUACACACAAAACACAAUAGAAUCAAAAUUCGAACUCCCUGGAAAGCUAUACUCCUUGGAACUAAUGAAGAGAAAAUGAAAGUUGAUGUUCAGAACCUCAGUCUUCAAGAAAGAAAGAAUUUGUUAGAUAGAUUAGUAAGAGUUGUAGAGGAGGACAAUGAGAAGUUCUUAUUCAAGCUCAAUGAUCGAAUGGAGAGGUAAACUCAUCUAUCUCUUCUACUUUCUUCUCUUUUACUCCCUGGAAAGCUAUACUCCUUGGAAAGCUAUACUCCUUGGAACUAAUGAAGAGAAAAUGAAAGUUGAUGUUCAGAACCUCAGUCUUCAAGAAAGAAAGAAUUUGUUAGAUAGAUUAGUAAGAGUUGUAGAGGACAAUGAGAAGUUCUUAUUCAAGCUCAAUGAUCGAAUGGAGAGGCAUACCUGUUUGAGCGAAAAUGAGCAGGGAUGAGAUCUAAGACCCAGACGCGAUCGACGAGCAAAGACGAGCAGAGAAGAGCAGCGGAGUUCUCCUUUGAGAAGAAUGAUGAGAAAAUCUAGUUUGUAAAAAAUCCAAAAUUUUUUAGGGUUCGCUCGAAAGAGAGGAGCAAA